GAGAGAAAUUAAUCAUCACAUGACGGUCGCGAUCGGCCGCCACCCCCCGACAGCCGGAGCCAACGCCGGGGAGCCGGGGAAAAGCUGCGAGGAGGGGACACACCUGUAGGCGCAGCACAUAUCCGCUGCACCCCGCUAAAAAGUCUGCGUGCAAAUUCCUCCUCCCCAGAAACAUGCCAACAGGAGUUAAUGGAGACCCCGCUCCCACACAGCAUUGUCUUGCUUUAGCAUCAUGCUCCUCUCCACCUUCAGUUGUCAAAUUUGUCUCCACUGUAUGUAACGUCGAGAUAAUCUAUUAAAAAGAGGGAUGUCUUAGAAGAAUGGCUUAGAAACCUGCCUGUGGACACACACAGAGCCAGAGCAGUGGUGACAGUUUAUUUAAUUUGAAAGAGGAGCUGGUGAAGUGAAGCCGUGCUGAAUCCUCGUCCAGUCCGUAACAAUUACCUGCUGUGCAUUUGACCUUGCCGAGUGUGGCGGGGAUUAGGAAGCUGAACUAGAGCUUGAGGUGGCCAUGCAGCAUCCCGUCCCAGG